AUUUCCUCAACCCCCACUUCUUGUUCGAAUGGGCUGUGACCCACCUUCCAGGUAGUUACAUUUCCUCCAGAGUGCAGGCUGGAUUAAUUGCUUAAUUAAUGCCGUGAAAUAUGAGUGCCCUGUGACGGACCCUCCAGGGUACAGCCCUGCACUGAGCUCUUUGUGCCAAUUUAACUUCCUAUGACCCUCCGUAGGAUGAAUCUAGGUGAUGGCGGGGUGCCCAUUUUUCCUGAUGUGUAGUGAGAGGGCUCAUAUUUUGUUCUCAAUCAUUUUCGAUGUGCGGGGAGCUGCCUGUACCUGCGGUUACUGCCUGUUGCAGUCUGGUCGCUUUCUCGUCUCCCCGAUGAGGCGUUUGACGGUGCUGAGAUGUCGUAAUCACAAGUCUGUGAUGGCCUGCUUGCCUGCCGUCGUCCCGAGGACCAGAGCAGCUCCACUCCCUGGACUGUGACAGACUCUACUACACCAAAAGACUGGGUCUUCAGGGGAAUUCACUUUCGUGAAUUUGCCUGUUGACACCAUAGGAAAAGAGCUCAGGGACCAGAUGAGCAAGUCCCAAGUCAGUGUUGAUCACCUUGGAUGUGCUGACAGCGGUACACCUUGCCUUUCCGACUUCUGACCCUUGGAAAUGAUAUUGUGAUUGCCAUGUAAGUUCACCAUCUUGUCUUCCCCAGUCAUUGCAUUGUAUUUCAUUUGACAUGUUCUGGUAGUUUUACUAUGAUACC
rnacentral:lncRNA from 1 species